CUUGAACAUUAUUAUAGAUAGAGAUAAACUGUAAACAGCAAUAAUGUUCAGCAAAGUAAGAUUUACAAAUAAGUCAACAUGACUGAAAAGGUCAGUUGACCCCUUUAGGAGUUAUUGCCCUUUAUCGUCAAUUUUUAACCCAUGUUUCGUAAAUCUUAGUAAUCUUUUACAAAAAUCUUCUCCUCUGAAACUACUGGGCCUAAUUAAUCCAAACUUGGCCA
rnacentral:lncRNA from 1 species